GAAAAGUUUCUUAUCCAAAUGGAAGAGAAAGGCUGUUCUCCUGAUGAUUGCACCUAUAGCACAAUUAUCCGAGGGUUCAUCCAUAAUAAACAGACAUCAAGGGCGAUGGUACUUAUUCAAACAAUGGUAGAGAAGGGGUUUUCUGCAGAUGCAUCAACAACAGAGUUAAUAGUUAAUUUACUGUCGAAAGACCUGCUUUGUUGAUAAAAGGAUCACUGUGAAAUUAAUAUGCAUCUGUGGACAAUGAAAUUUGAAACUGCUGCACCUUUGACGACCAUGAAGGCAUUUCAGUGGUUUGUGCGUAUGGUAGGAGGUGAAAAUGCCUUCUCACUUGAAUCCUUAAUUUCUGGCAUUAAUUCUGUUUAAUUUGAUUUCUGUUGUAUUUGUAUGGGACAAUAGGAGAACCUCUGUUUCAACAAAAAGAUCCCAUGCAAACCAUUGUUCACUGAUGCAAAGGCGCAAUUGAAGGUCAACCCAAUGCAGCUGUGCAUUACAUUGCAUUUAUUAAGGGUUAUAUUGUAUCAUUUUGGUUAUAACACAUUGAAGGUUUCUAG
rnacentral:lncRNA from 1 species